GCCGGAAUAGCUCAGUUGGUAGAGNNGGUCGCAGGUUCGACUCCUGUUUCCGGCACCA
rnacentral:tRNA from 1 species